CUGACAUAUAAAUGCAUCUCUAUCCCCAUCUGUCUCAUUCUGGGCUCAGAGCUCUCUGCCUGCAGCUCUACAAAGGACACAAGGAUGUCCCCAUCCCAGCUCCUCUGCCUCCUGCUGCUCUGGGCUCAGGAGUCCAGGACAGCCGUUGUGAUGACCCAGACUCCAGCCUCCCUGUCUGUGGCUCUGGGAGAGAAAGUCACCAUCAGCUGCAGGGCCAGCAAGGACAUUAGCUAUUAUUUAGCCUGGUACCAGCAGCCUCCAGGAAAACCUCCCAAACUUCUUAUCUAUUAUGCUGACUCUCUAGAAUCUGGGGUCCCUGCCCGCUUCAGUGGCAGUGGUUAUGAGACAGAUUUUACUCUCACAAUCAGCGGUGUGGAGGCUGAAGAUGUCGGACAUUAUUACUGUCUGCAGCAUUAUGAUUCUCCCACAGGGACACGAAUAGGCAAUUUUCAAAUAAAGAAAUCAAAACUAUCAAUAAGCACAUGA